CAGCCGUGUCUGGGGGUGACAGCUCUGUCUGGGGGUGACAGCCGUGUCCCCAGUGGGUGACAGGCGUGUCUGGGGGUGACAGCCGUGUCCCCAGCGCGGUGACAGCCGUGUCCCCCCAGAGGUGUUCCCGCCGCAGAUGGAGGGGGUGAAGCUGAUCGUCACCAAGACCCUGAGCAGCCACUUCCAGGUCGGCGAGGGGACACCCGGGGACACGAAGGGGGGGUGGCCGCGCCCCGUGACCGCCGGUGUCCCCGCAGGUGACACACACGGUGCACAUGAGCGCCCUGGGCCCCUCCGGCUACCGCUUCAACGCCACCUUCCUGGGGGACCGCCAGCUCGGGCCCACCGAGGUGUUCCCCACGCUGCUCGGGGACAUGGACAGCGCCGGCAGCCUGAACGCGCAGGCCCUGCAGCUGCUGGGCGAGCGCCUCCGCGCCAAGGCCGUGUUCCAGACGCAGCAGGCCAAGUUCGUGACGUGGCAGUUUGACGGCGAGUACCGCGGUGACGACUGCACGGCCACGCUGACGCUGGGCAACCCCGACCUGCUGGGCGGCUCCGGUGAGCGCCGCCGGCCCCACGCCGACCACGGCGGCCCCUCGGUGAUCACGGUGGCCCCUCGGUGAUCCCGGCGGCCCCGUGGUGAUCCCAGUGACCCCGUGGUGAUCCCGGCGGCCCUGUGGUGAUCACGGCGGCCCCGUGGUGAUCCCGGUGGCCACGGAGAGAUCCCGGUGGCCACGGUGGCCCCGCGGUGAUCCCGGUGACCCCGCGGUGGUCCUGGUGGCUACGGAGAGAUCCCGGUGGCCACGGGGAAACCACUGAGGCCCCGCGGUGAUCCCGGUGGCCCCGCGGUGAUCCCGGUGGCCACGGUGGCCCCGCGGUGAUCCCGGUGGCCACGGUGGCCCCACGGUGAUCACGGUGACCCCGGCGACACCAUUGAGGCCCUGCAGUGAUCCCGGUGGCCCCGCGCCGAUCCUGGUGGCCCCACAGUGAUCCCGGUGGCCCCACAGUGAUCCCGGUGACCCCGCAGUGAUCCCGGUGACCCCGCAGUGAUCCCGGUGACCCCGGGGACACCGCUGAG
rnacentral:lncRNA from 1 species